AUGGAUAUUCCUGUAAUUCCUGAAACUUUUCAGGAAGUGAUAAAACAUGCUAGUAUAGACAGUAACCACAUGGUGGAUAUUAGAGAUAUUCUAUUUAUUUUGGAUGAACUACAGCACCAGUAUGAAGAUUUUUGAAAUCCUUUUGUGCUCAUUCAUACUUGUUCAUCAAGACCUUUGAGUCCUCAAGGGCCGAAUUUACCUCUAAACUGAAAAAUGGAAAGUAAAGUACCUUUAUUCUGCCAGGUAUUUUUUUCAAAAAUAGUUUCUAAAGGCUUCU
rnacentral:lncRNA from 1 species